GAUGAAGAACGUAGCAAAAUGCGAUACUCGGUGUGAAUUGCAGAAUCCCGUGAACCAUCGAGUGUUUGAACGCAAGUUGCGCCCGAAGCCUUUUGGCCGAGGGCACGUCUGCCUGGGCGUCACGCAUCGCGUCGCGCCCCACAACUCUCCGUAAAGGGAACUUGUGUUUUGGGGGCGGAUAUUGGUCUCCCGUGCUCAUGGCGUGGUUGGCCGAAAUAGGAGUCCCUCCGGUGGACGCACGAACUAGUGGUGGUCGUAAAAACCCUCGUCUUUUGUUUCGUGCCGUUAGUCGCGAGGGAAACUCUUUAAAAACCCAAAUGUGUCGUCUCUUGACGGCGCUUCGACCGCGACCCCAGGUCAGGCGGGACUACCCGCUGAGUUUAAGCAUAUCAAUAAGCGGAGGA
rnacentral:misc_RNA from 1 species